CACUACUUAUGAUCAGUGAGGAGAUCUAGGGAACCAACAUAAUAGAGCAAAAUAUCUCCCGGACUAGUUCUGUUUGCUGUUUUUGAAAGAGUUACCAGAAAGAAAGAAGAAAAUAAGCAUUUAUCCAGAGCCUUCUAUGUGCCAGACACUGUGCCAAGAACCUCACAAUAUGAUUUCAUUUGAUCUUCUUCCUGAGGGUGACUUUCAUUCUUAUGUCCAUUUUACAGAUGAGGAAACUGAGGCAAACAGGGUUAAGUGACUUUAAGUGCCCAGGGUCACACAGCUAGUGUCUCAGGCCAGAUUUGGACCUCAGGAAGGGGAGUUUUCCUGACUCCAAGCCCUGCACUGUGCACUAUGGUGCCCUCUAGCACCCCAUAAGUUCAUCAUCUGUCAGGUGAGUGGCCAGUUUUACCUGUGUUCUCUCAGUUUAUCACUGGUUAUAAAGACUUUUCAAGUGGUUUCCUGUGUUGUCAUUGUAUAAAUUUCUCCAAAAGUAUUUUUUCUUAUGCACAGACCUGAUGUGACUCCUUUACGUCCCCUACUACAGUGGUCACCUAUUAACAUCUAGGGUUACAGACAAACUCUUUAAGGCUUUAAAACCCUUCACCACCUCAUUGGCCAUUACUGACCCUCCAGCACGUGGCAUGAUGAGAAGAAGAUACACUUCUAUGAUAAAAUGAAGGAUUGAGCAUUCUGAUUCCAGGGUAAGAAGCCAUUAUUCCUCCCGCCUUUCACUGGAAAGAUGCAGUCAGUCAGUCAACAUCCACAAGAACCCUGCUACAGUCUUUGGGAUGGCUCAAGAAUUCAAAGGCAUAUAUCUGAUUACCUAUUUAAUAAAGGAACUCGUGACUAUGGCCCUGAUGUUGUGAAGAAAGGAGGCAGCCAGGCUUCUUUGCCAAAGAUGGGAUGUUAACUGAGACUUGAAGAAAGCCAGGGAAGCCAGGAGGUGAAGAUGAGAAGGAGGGAGUGGGAGUGUUCCAGGCAUUUGGAGGGGGGAAGAGAAGGAUGGUUAAGAUAAAUGCUUAAAAAGUCAAGUGUGUGUCUUCUUUAAGGAACACCAAAGUAAGGAGAACAAUCAUUUGAUGGCAGGGGGUGUGUGUGUGUGUGUAGGGAGGUUUGGUAGGAAUGGUGCAAUUUAAAGACAGGAAGUUCUUCAACUUAUAAGACGUAGGGUUUAAACUAGUUUGUAAGAACGGAAA
rnacentral:lncRNA from 1 species